rnacentral:rRNA from 1 species
GACGAACGCUGGCGGCGUGCUUAACACAUGCAAGUCGAACGGUAAGGCCCUUCGGGGUACACGAGUGGCGAACGGGUGAGUAACACGUGGGUGAUCUGCCCUGCACUUCGGGAUAAGCCUGGGAAACUGGGUCUAAUACCGGAUAGGACUCCGGCCUGCAUGGUCUGGGGUGGAAAGCUUUUGCGGUGUGGGAUGGGCCCGCGGCCUAUCAGCUUGUUGGUGGGGUGAUGGCCUACCAAGGCGACGACGGGUAGCCGGCCUGAGAGGGUGACCGGCCACACUGGGACUGAGAUACGGCCCAGACUCCUACGGGAGGCAGCAGUGGGGAAUAUUGCACAAUGGGCGCAAGCCUGAUGCAGCGACGCCGCGUGAGGGAUGACAGCCUUCGGGUUGUAAACCUCUUUCAGCAUCGACGAAGCGAAAGUGACGGUAGGUGCAGAAGAAGGACCGGCCAACUACGUGCCAGCAGCCGCCGUAA